rnacentral:sRNA from 1 species
UUGUGCUCAUCCCGAGUCCCGGGCUCAGUAUGUGGCGCCUGCCACGCGCGCUGUGUGUGCAUGCUGCAAAGACCAGCAAGCUCCCUGGACCUUGGAGCAGGCCUGCCGCCUUCAUGUCCACUCUCCUCAUCAAUCAGCCCCAGUAUGCGUGGCUGAAAGAGCUGGGGCUCCGCGAGGAAAACGAGGGCGUGUAUAAUGGCAGCUGGGGAGGCCGGGGAGAGGUUAUUACGACCUAUUGCCCUGCUAACAACGAGCCAAUAGCAAGAGUCCGACAGGCCAGUGUGGCAGACUAUGAAGAAACUGUAAAGAAAGCAAGAGAAGCAUGGAAAAUCUGGGCAGAUAGUCGCCCAGGCUAGUGUACAGUGGCAUGCUCACAGCUCACGGCUCACUGCAGCUUUGACCUCCUGGGCUCAAGCAAUCCUCCCACCUCAGCCUCCUUGGUAACUAGGACUACAGGCAUGUUCCUCCACACCUGGCUAAUUUUUGUAUUUUUUGUAGAGAUGAGGUUUUGCUCUGUUGCCUAGGCUGGUCUCAGACUCCUGGGCUCAAGCAAUUUACCCACCUCAGCCUCCCAAAGUGCUGGGAUUACAGGCAUGAGCCACCAUGCCUGUAAUAGGCCAUUUCCCCUGUUAUUAACAUUUUGCAUUAGUAUGUUUUGUUACAACUGAUGAGCCAAUGUUGAUGUGUUAUUAUAAACUAAAGUACACAAUUUACGUGAGGGUUCACUCUUUGCAUAUCCUGUUUUGAAUGCUAGUGCAACUUAACAUGUUGUCUUUUGACUAGAAACGUCUAUUGUAUGUGUCUAUUUAUCUAGGGUAAAUACAAACAUUUGGAAAAAAAAAGAAUUUAUGUGAAUUCAGGGUCUUGUCUUUUCCUGAACUGGUUUUUUUUCUGAGACUGAGUCUUGCUCUGUUGCCCAGGCUGGAGUGCAGUGGCAUGAUCUUGGCUCACUGCAACCUCCGCCUCCUAGACUCAAGUGAUUCUCCUGCCUCAUCUUCCUGAGUAGCCAGGACUACAGGCAUGAGCCACCAUGCCCGGCUAAUGUUUUUUUUUGUAUUUUUUAGUAGAGAACAGGGUUUCACCAUGUUGGCCAGGUUGGUCUUGAACUCCUGACCUCAAGUGAUCUGCCCACCUCUGCCUCCCAAAGUACAGGCAUGAGCCACCACACCUGGAAUGAACUGGUUUUUAAAUCUAUCUUUGCCCUAGGGAGUGCCGGCUGACAUUAUGAUCUUUCUUAAAUAUUGGGCUGUACUUUUUUUGUUGCUAUUUUCACAUUCAGGAUCUCAUUUGGCAGUCAACUCUUACCCACCAUGCCAGCCUCUGCACCUAACAUCCUUUCUCAUACUUCUGGUGCUUUUUAGACCUCCCAACAAAUAGAAUGGGGGUGCUACGUGGGAACAGGUUGCUUUCCUGGGUAAUAGUAGAGUCAGUUGGGGAUCCUACUUGUUUGAUUUUGAGUUAAGCAAUUGAGUUCAAAGUUUAGGGAAGAGGCAGAGUUUUUCCUAAUUGUGCUCUGGGGCUCCUCCCUGGGGCAGGGACUUAGAGAGGCUCGGUAAGAACAGACCAAAGCUUGACCCCCUUCUCGUCACAGAAGCUUUCCCAUCUCGAUCCUCCCUCACGUGAGGCUUCUCUGCUUGGCCCUCAUCCAUUUGGCUGGCCUUGACUGUGUUAGGACAAACCACUGUUUCAUGUAGUUCAUUUGAGUUAAUUCUAGAAUUUUUCUUUUUCUUUUUUUUUUGAGACAGAGUUUUGCUCUUGUUGCCCAGGCUGGAGUGCAAUGGUGCCAUCUCGGCUCACUGCAAGCCCCACCUCCCCGGUUCAAGCGAUUCUCCUACCUCAGCCUACCAAGUAGCUGGGAUUACAGGUGCCCGCCACCAAUUUUUUAAAUAUUUUUAGCAGAGAUAGGGUUUCACCAUGUUGGCCAGGCUGGUUUUGAAUUCCUGACCGCAAGCGAUCCACCCGCCUUGGCCUCCCAAAGUGCUAGGAUUACAGGCAUGAGCCACUGUGACGGGCCAAUUCUAGAAUUUUUCAAAGGGAACGUUUUUCUUUAAGGGAAAUGGAAACAAAGUGAAACAUAUGGAAAGGUAGUUUAUAGAAAUUGAUUUCUUUCUAAGGAAUAGACUUGCUGCUUUCUUCCAUGAGCCAGUUUCAGCACAGAAUGCAGCCCAUUUCUGCCGUCUGCAUCCCCAUGUGUCCUCAUUUUCCCUCCCAUCUCUGGUGAGAAAGAGUAGGAGUCUCUCUGUCCUUGAAGACAGGGAACUGUUUUUUUUUUCUUUCUUUUUUCUUUUUUUUGAGACAGAGUCUUACUCUGUCACCCAGGCUGGAGUGCAGUGGUGCGAUCUCGGCACACUGCAACCUCUGCCUCCUGGGUUCAAGUGAUUCUCCUGCCUCAAUCUCCUGAGUAGCUGGGAUUACAGGUACCAAGCGUGGCUAAUUUUUGUAUUUUUAGUAGAGACAGGGUCUCACCAUGUUGGCCAAGCUGGUCUUGAACUCCUGAUCUCAAAUGAUCCACCUGCCUCGGCCUCCCAAAGUGCUGGGAAUACAGGCAUGAACCACAGCCCCCGGCCAUAAUUUUCCAAAACCACUUUCUCUUGCUUUUCAGCCUUUGCAUAUGCUCUGUACCCCUCUAACCCCAUGCUUUUCCUCCACUUUGCCUACCUCUUCACAACACCUGGCAUGCUUUAGGUCUUAGCCCUAAACUUCUAAACUUGUAAAAAGCCUACUUCAGGUUGCUCCAGUUGUGAAAUCUAGCUCCCCUUUCAUGGCAUUUGCCACAUUAGAUUGUAAUUGCCUGUUUCUUGCCUUUAUCACCCCCAUGGACUGUCAGCUCUAUAGAGGGCAAGAAUUGUAACUGCCUCAUUUGCAGUAGAAUAUCCAGGGAUUAGCACAGUAUCUGGCACAUAGAACAUAUGCAAUAAUUAUUUGUUGAAAGACUGACUGAAUAAAAUGUGUCCAGAAUGGGAGGUAAAAGGCCAUGUAUACUGGCCAUUCUGAGUUGAAAUUAACCAACUUAACUAAACUUAUAAAUGUGCUGACUAAAUUCAAUUGAAACAUCAUUAAAUCCACACCAUGUGCUAGGAAAUGUAUAGGUUAUGUGCUGAUUGAUAUAAUGCUACAGGUUUUUGUUUCCUGUUUCCAAAAGUGUGCAUAUGUUGUGAAAAUGACAGACAUUGCAAACAUAUAAAUUGUGGAUGAAAAUCUGUUAUAAUUUCAUUCCCCACAAAAAACCAUUGUGAACAGCUU